CACGUAGGGUGCGAGCGUUGUCCGGAAUUAUUGGGCGUAAAGAGCUCGUAGGCGGUGUGUCGCGUCGGCCGUGAAAACCUGCAGCUUAACUGUGGGCUUGCGGUCGAUACGGGCAUCACUGGAGUUCGGCAGGGGAGACUGGAAUUCCUGGUGUAGCGGUGAAAUGCGCAGAUAUCUGGAGGAACACCGGUGGCGAAGGCGGCAUCCUGGACCGGCAUUGACGCUGAGGCGCGAAAGCUAGGGGAGCAAACGGG
rnacentral:rRNA from 1 species